CAAGCAAGUAUGAUCCUUUGUCUUGCAUUAUGGUGUCGAUCACAUUGUUAUGGUGCUGACAAAGCCGUAAAAACCGUGUAUACUGAUAAUAAUCAAUUCACUUUCGCGAGGUGGUUGAACGCCAUCCAAGAGCCCCACUAUACGAGCAAUAUCCAAGAACGGUUACCGGAAUACAAAGUCAACUUGAUUGCUGAGCCUUAUCUUGAGAUCGAGGACUCAAUUGCUUUUUAGGGUUCGAUUAUGAGGAUUCCUUUAAUUUUGUUCAGCACUAGUCAUUAAUGGAUGUCAGCAAUAAGACACCUGCCAAGGUCAAGAGUACUGCCGCCAUUAAGAAAGAAGAGGGCUUUUCUGAAGAAAUAAGUAGUAAGCACGUGUUGAUGAAGAUGAAUAAUUAACAUAAUUAAGGGUGGUAGGGCGCAAAACCUUCACCAGUAGGUGCCCCUUUGAUACCACGAAGCGAUAAUGCGUACUGGUUAAAGAUGUGGACAAAUAAAAAAAUU